rnacentral:rRNA from 1 species
GCAUAGGAAUCUACCUAGUAGUAUGGAAUAGCCAUUAGAAAUGAUGGGUAAUACUGUAUAAUCCCUGCGGGGGAAAGAUUUAUCGCUAUUAGAUGAGCCUACGUUAGAUUAGCUAGUUGGUAAGGUAAUGGCUUACCAAGGCUAUGAUCUAUAGCUGGUCUGAGAGGACGAUCAGCCACACUGGAACUGAGAUACGGUCCAGACUCCUACGGGAGGCAGCAGUGGGGAAUAUUGGACAAUGGGCGAAAGCCUGAUCCAGCUAUGCCGCGUGAGUGAAGAAGGCCUUCGGGUUGUAAAACUCUUUCAAUAGGGAAGAUAAUGACGGUACCUAUAGAAGAAGUCCCGGCAAACUCCGUGCCAGCAGCCGCGGUAAUACGGAGGGGGCAAGCGUUGUUCGGAAUUAUUGGGCGUAAAGGGCACGUAGGUGGACUAGUAAGUUAAAAGUGAAAUACCAAAGCUCAACUUUGGAGCUGCUUUUAAUACUGCUAGACUAGAGGUCGAAAGAGGAUAGCGGAAUUCCUAGUGUAGAGGUGAAAUUCGUAGAUAUUAGGA